AUACGAAAGGUGCAAGCGUUGUUCGGAUUGACUGGGCGUAAAGAGAGUGUAGGUGGUUUAUUAAGUCGGAUGUGAAAUCCCGGGGCUCAACCUCGGAACUGCAUUCGAUACUGAUAGGCUAGAGUUUGGGAGGGGUAAGCGGAAUUCCGUGUGUAGCAGUGAAAUGCGUAGAUAUACGGAGGAACACCUGAGGCGAAGGCGGCUUACUGGACCAAUACUGACACUGAGACUCGAAAGCGUGGGUAGCAAACAGGAUUAGAAACCCUAGUAGUCC
rnacentral:rRNA from 1 species